AUUUCUGAAAUACAAGUUCAACUAUAGUUAUUAAGGUUAUCUCCUGCUGGUAUGGGAGGAUCAGCAGAGAUGAAGGACAGCUUUACCAUCUGCUCUUGGAAGACUUUCAGGAAAUUGCUGAGCAGAUUUUCCACAGGCUAAGUCAUAUGUAUGUGGUUAAGGUUGUCUGUAAUGAUAUUAUAAAGGCUCUGCUCACUCACUUCUGUGACCUAAAAGUGGCUAAUGCCAGGCAUAAGAACAUCUAAGCCAUUUGUGUUGCACCAUGCUUGAAAGUCUCACAUUAUGAUGUAAGAUUCUUCUGUACAUGUUUUCAGGUUCUAGUGUUUUCACUUCUCCCUUCAAAGGUUACCCAGUCUCUUAGUUUACGUAUAAUACUCUCUGAAAUUUUCACAACAAAAUUCUUGAAGUCAGAAAGGGAUUUACUGAGAAAAUUACAUUACAUUUAGACAUAAGACUAAUCUAUGGGGUUAUAUUAAUCAAAUGUUUUUUGCCCAGUACAAAAACAGAGAGGAAGUACAGAGAGGAAAGAAAUGAACAUCACAAGAGAUACUACAUAUAUGUUCAUUUUUAUGAAGAGUUUAUCAAGAUUAUCAACAACAUCUACGAUGCGGAGUUCUGAAAUCAGCUAAGAAUGUCAUAUGUAAAAAUUUAUAGGAGAAUCUUGAGAUUU
rnacentral:lncRNA from 1 species